rnacentral:lncRNA from 13 species
CCUAAAUAACUCAAUAUAAUAUCUCUGAAACUUUUUUGUUGACAAAUUUUGGGAAAUGAUGAUGAGAAAAUGGGGUUUGCAACUUUGUAGUAACAGGUAACUUAGAGCUAUUUAAGGAAGAACAAAAAUAAAUUAUCAGAAAAAUAAAGUAAGAUAAAGUGCAAAAAUUCUGUAGCAAACAUGAUAGUCAAAAAUGUAUUUUUGUGACUCAUUCUGCUUCCAUUUUGUUCUGGAAUUUCUGAGUAAUUUGAGGGUUUAAUAUUGGAAAAAUCUACACUAUAGAUAACAUUUUCUUGCAAAUAAAUUUACCUCAAAUUUUGUUAUUAGUUUGUAUGAGAUUAUUCUCAGCCUACUUCAUUUCAAGCUAUAUUAUUUUAUUGAUGUAGUUUGAUGGUCUUACAGUGGAGCUGGAAGCUAUAUCUUCAAAAUGUGUCUAUUUGACUAAAAACAAUCAAGUUAUUCAACAGGAGUUAUCAUCUUUGAAAGAAGUACAACAGGAAUGUGAAAAAAUUGAGGAGGAUAAAAAGAUGUUGGAAAAAGAAAUAUCAAAUCUUACGACACAUGGAAAAAUAUGGUGGAACUUCAAGUACAAGAAUAUAAUUGGAGCUAGAAGAAAGGGUAAUGCAGGCAAUAGGAAAAUUAGAAGAAAUCUAUUUACAGCCCUGGAGUGAGUAAUUUUUCUUAGAAGCAGAGGUGGAGCCACCAAGGAAUCGCAAGACAAGCCCUCCCAGCACACAUUCACUGGUCUCCAACAGAAAGAACCACUGCCGCAUGCACUGAGGUACCAAGAAACUAGCAAAAGGCCUUCUGUCUGUCUGGGAACAGUCUUCAUGUGGUCUCUGGCUCAGCCUCAAACGUUCUGGAUUAGUCUCUCUGCAGCCUCUGUGCUGUGUCUCUAGAUUGGGGCUCUGCUGGAAGGGCUCUGGGAGACCCAGCAGCACAGGGUGUCUCCUCUGCCAAAUGUUCCUCCCUUCCUCCCACUCUGACACUCAGGAAUAGGCUAGAUGGCAUGUCCAGGCAGUGCCAGGCCACCUCAGUGUCUCCUUUGAGAUGGACCCAGAGUGUGAAGCUGGCCACCUGGAGCCUGAGGCUGAGUAUCCCUCCCUGUGUCUUGGAGGAGAAGUCUUGU